GACAGCAUGGCAUAGUGGUUUGAGUGCUGAACUGCAACUCUGGAGAUCAGGGUUUGAUUCCCUGCUUGGCCA
rnacentral:tRNA from 1 species